GGCCCAAUGGUCUAGUAGUAUGAUUCGCCCUUCGGGAGUUCGACUCCCUUCGAAUAAUUCGAAGUGAUUGGGCGAGGUCCCGGGUUCAAUUCCCGGUUGGGCCC